rnacentral:rRNA from 1 species
CAGCAGCCACGGGAAUACGGAGGGCGCGAGCGUUACCCGGAUUUACUGGGCGUAAAGCGUGCGUAGGUGGUGGUUUAAGUCCGUUGUGAAAGCCCUGGGCUCAACCUGGGAAUUGCAGUGGAUACUGGGUCACUAGAGUGUGGUAGAGGAUAGUGGAAUUUCCGGUGUAGCAGUGAAAUGCGUAGAGAUCGGAAGGAACAUCUGUGGCGGAGGCGACUAUCUGGGCCAACACUGACACUGAGGCACGAAAGCGUGGGGAGCAAACAGGAUUAGAUACCCCUGUAGUCCCUGUCUCUUAUAC